rnacentral:rRNA from 1 species
GAAUUAUUUAAAACGACUCUCGGCAACGGAUAUCUAGGCUCUCGCAUCGAUGAAGAACGUAGCGAAAUGCGAUACUUGGUGUGAAUUGCAGAAUCCCGCGAAUCAUCGAGUUUUUGAACGCAAGUUGCGCCCGAAACCAUUCGGCCGAGGGCACGUCUGCCUGGGUGUCACGC